rnacentral:lncRNA from 1 species
GCUUGAGCAACACCUGGAAACCGGGUAGCAAUGCCAAUUCUGGGCCCUGCCCUACAGCUAAAGAACCAGAAGCUGAGGGUAAGGGGCAGCAAUCUGCAUUUGAACAACCUCCCCAAGAGGAUCCCAUACACACCAAAAAUUCAGAACCACUUCAGCCUCACUUCAGUCUGUUGGAGGGUGAAACUGCGUCUAUCUGGAGUUUCUUAAGGUUUUGAACUAGGUGCGGAAGUUACAGGAAGGAUGAGCUAAGAAAAGACAUGGAAAAUAUUUAAAAUGCAUUCACUUUACCCUCAACAGUAGGAAGCUACGGGCAUCUAAGAGAGAGCCUGCAAUGGGGAGAUGCCCCGGCAGGCCCAGGGCACAGCGGCCCCACCGCAGCUCCGACUUGCAGAGACCAGGCGUGAAGCCAAGCUGGCCUCGGGUCGCGGCUCUUUGAGAACGCGAGUGGGAACAGAGCCCUCCGGCUGGGCUUGUCCGCAGCUGGCCACAGCAGCAUCUGAGAGGCGUCCUGGGCUAGUAUGCACCUCCCUGGGGACCCAGGUAUCUGACCCGGCUUGGGGCGGUCUGCUCCAGCCGCCAGAGUCCUGCGUUCUAAGAAAGAAGAUUUCCCAUCCCCCUCCCUCUCCCCUCCUGAGCGGCGGACCCCUUGAGCCCUAGCGAAACUACAAAGCCCACAAUCCCUGAGGUGCGCGCGCUAUCUUCUGGGAGAUGUAGUCCUGGACGCGGGACACCCCCAGGGGCCCAGCGCCGGCUGGACUUCAUAUUCCAGCAUGCCUGCGCGCGUGCUGGGGGCGGAGGGAGGGAGAGACGGGGAGGAUGUGAAUAGGGUGGGGGCAGACGCCCCUGUCCCCCACCCUUCCCUUCAAGCCGGGCAGAGGUUGGGGGAGGGGCCGGGCUGAGGCGGCGGCGGCGGCGGCGGCGGCGGCGGCGGCGGCGGCGGCGCUCCGGAGGGCUGGGUCGGGCAAGGGCGGGACUAGCCCACGGUCCGCGGACAAGAGAGCCGCGAGCUAACGGGUCUGGACGCCGGCUGCGACGGCUUUCUGCGCGGGCGGUGGCGGCGGCAGGAGCUGCGAGCAUGGCCCGCGCGGCGCCGGGCGCU